rnacentral:piRNA from 1 species
UCCGCUUCCUUGGGAUUUGGCUCGGCUUCU